CUCGCUCUGGUUUCGGCAGCUGCUACAUAACAGUCUCUGGGGGGGAUGGUCCUUCCCUUUUUCCUGCGGAGCGUCAGAGCUGGUGCCUCGAGUGCGGGAACUAUGGAGAUAAACUUUAUGGUGAUAUCCUGGAAGUUGUGCAGAAUAAUUAAGCCCUUCAUGAAAACACAAACAGUUCUAGAAGACUAUAUGAUGUACAAUUGUGGAUGUUCCUGAAUGUUUAAGAAUGUGACUUGUUAGCAAGUAUCCAGUGGAGAAUGAAUGAAUGAAUGAAUAACUGACAGCGCAGUUGGGAUAUAAAACUACUUGCGACUCUAGUGCUACUAAGACAGAGUUCUCUGAAGGCUGACUCAAUAUUAAAGUGAAAUGGUGGAAAAUGUACAAGCAGAUGCAUUUAGUUACGCAGUGAUGAGGUGGAAUUUUUGUAUCACCUGACAAGUGUGGAUGGUAUCACUGGAAGAAGUCUGACACCUGAAGAUACUCACAAACCAAGAUUUUAACGACAACAAAAAUUUACCAGUUACCUGUGGCAGCAGGUAGCCAGACCCUUUGGCCACAGACUACGGCCUGUAAAACUAUUUUCCGUUUUGAAAAACCCUGCAAUCCGUUGUGUAUUGGAGAAACUGCAGAAUAUUUUUGCAGAAUGGCUUUCCCCUUGCUCACUUUUAACAGGGUUUAUUACUUCUGAUAAUGGCAUAUACCACACUAGUCCCAUUAAGGAAGGGGGGAUACUUCCAUGUGCCAUGCUUUGUACAAAUUCUUGAUGCAAUAGUUCAUUACUGAACAAAGAUGUGAAACAUGCACAUAGUCUGCAGUCACUUCAGCCAUUCCUUUACAGCUGCUUCUACUUUACAAGAACUGCAGCAGUAAAAUGGCCUUCCAUUGCACCAACUCAAACACCAUGGGCUAGACCAGUGGUUCUCAAACUUUUGGACUGGUAACCCCUUUCACAUAGCACGCCCCCUUAUCAAUUAACACUUUAUAUAUUUAACACAUUGUAAAUGCUGGAGGCAAAGCAGGGUUUGGGUCGGAGGCUGACAGUUCUCAACCCCCGGUUUGAGUACUGCUGGGCUAGACAAAUGGAAUUCCAUUCUCUAUGCUUGAGCAAUUACUGAGGCAAUACAAAGCUAUUAGUGACUGCAGUGCCUCAGAGGUAUGAAGGAAGCAAUCUGUUUCUAACUCUUCCACAGUAGAGUUUUAAGAAAAGCCUGUGUAGUAUGCGGAGAACUUUUAAUGAAACUUUCAAAUGGGGCACUGAAAAGAUGCUAGUCUUAGCCAAGUCAAUCUGCUCAUUUGCCUCCUAGAGGGGAAAAAAGUGCCACCUGCAAGAACAGUUUAGAGAAGUGGAUGAUAUUGCAGCAGUAUAUUUGGUAAAUAGUAUUUUAGCCAUUCUAAAAGAAGGCUCAUAUAAUUUAUAUUAGGGGGUCUGAGGGGUACAUUCUUGCUUUAGAUCCAUGAUUUAAAUGUACAUUACCAGUCUUUCUCCCAGGGGGUGAGUCUAAUACAGAAUAUUACCAAAAUGUGUUCUCAGAUUCAGUUGCUAAAUGUGUUUCCACUAGAACUGGUGAGAAAACAAGCUCCUCUAGCAUCAGGUAUCAAAUAGAAGGAAGUUGGAGCAUAUUUGAAAGAUUUCAGUGUUCAGAAGGUGAGAUCUUUUCGGGUACCUCACAGGCAUCACACUCCACACAUUCCAAAAUGUCACUCUGGGAUUUUCUCCUUGAUCUAGAUUAGAUCCUGCAUCUCUGAUUAUCAAAGGGUGGAGGCAUAUCUCCAGGAGCAGAAUUAUUUUAUACAAAAUGAUGAGCCUUUGAUUUCCUGGCUUCGUAAGAGAAGGAUAUGGCCAGCACUAAGCAUAAAAGCUAUGGAAUAUCUUAGCUGCCUUCCAGUGUGAUAUUCAUAAAAAUGAACAAGCAUUUUUUGCCACUGGAUUACACCUUGGAAGAUGACCUGGGAUAUGGGAUUAGAGAGGAGGGACUGGGAAGAAGUGCAUGCUGCCUCUAGUUCUUGGGGGGGGGGGGGGGGGAUUACAUUGUUCAGAGGAAGUAUCUUAACUUUUUUAGCAUUUGAUUUUAAUGUGGUAUUUUGUGUUCAUUACUUUGUGUGGCACAGAUACAGGGUGACAUUUGAUAUAAAGGUAAUUAAAUGUAAAUCAUGGCAGAGUUUUUAAUGCACAACAAGAAAAGUCAGUCAGUUACAUGAUUUUUAUAAGAUUGCCGUUUAACAAGAUGUAAGACCUUUUAAACUUAAGUUGCUUUGUAAAUGAAGCAUUAAAACAUUACAUGCAUCAAGCAAAACUUUA